UGGAUCAGGUAUAUAAACGAAAAAACGAAACAAACAUUCAUAUUGUACAUUUGCUUUUUUGACAUAGCAUCAAUUAAAUACGACGAUUGAUCUCAAUACAUUCAUAACUGCUUUAAAAGGAUUGUAUCAUUUAUAGACGCGAGUGAUUAAAAAAGUGCACUACGUUACAAACAAACUAAAUGCCAGAAAGUAACGAUUUCAAAGAGUUGGACAACAGAAUUAGAAGCUUCGCCAACUGGAGCUACCUUUCUGAUUCCUCCAAACUUGCUAAUGCUGGAUUUUAUGCAACAGGUAAGCUAGAUUGUUUCAACAUAUAUUUCAUACUGUUUUAUAGUAAAAUCUGGAUAUGAAAAUUUAGUCACAACAAGGCCAAUUGAUUCAUUAAGAAUGUGUGUUUAUAAUUAUAUUAUUCAGUGGAAGAUUGCGACGAGGUACUGAGAAGAGGAGUAUUACACGAUACCACGACCUUGUUCGAUGUUAUGCAUGCGGUCUUGGGCUAAGAUAUCUAAACGCCGAUGAUGACCCGCUGUCAGAGCAUAUUAAAAACUGCACGUCAUCGUGCGCCUUCCUGAACGAGCUCGCAGGCGAACAUCAAGAUCUUAAUGCUGAAGAGCCGGAUAUAUCAGACACCGAGGACGAGCUAGAACAGCUAGAAGAGCAAAAUGAUCGACUAAGGGAAAGAACUACAUGCAAAAUUUGUCGAGAGAGACAGGCGAUAAUCUUGCUGCUGCCUUGUAGUCAUUUAGCCGCAUGCGUGCAAUGUGGAUCAAACUUAUCCAUCUGUCCAGUAUGUAGCAGACCAGUGGUGGAGACGAUCAAGACAUUCCUAGGUUGAGGCUAGUGAUGAUCUAUUCAAAAAUCCGUCGGAUACAUCUCCAUUGACCAUCGUCUUCAGUUUCGUUGGAUUAAUGUGACCUGACGUAUAACCGUCUUGUUUAAUAGCUUUAAAUUAACUUAUUUAUAGAGUUAAAAUUCAAGGCAAAGACAUGCUCGCUUAGAAACUAAUAGUGUGUAGCAAACUAGUUAAUGAGUCGGUGAAGACGUUUCUAGUGUGAAUCUACCGAUGAUCUCUUCAACAGAUGCACGGAAGGCGUUGGAACAUAACCAUUGUCCUUCGUCGUCAGAUCUGGUGGAAUAAAGGAACCUUACAUUU